rnacentral:lncRNA from 1 species
CCGGAAAAGAUAACUUUCUACACAUCCGGUAGAGAUUCGCCAGGAAAAGCAAUGGAAAUUCUCCAGUUCAAAUCCAAUGGAUAUUAAGGAAGGAACUACGGUUGCUGACUUGAGUUGAAGAAGCAUCUGCUUAAUGUCCGGUCAAAGCUUACAAGCAGUAAUACAGAAACCUAUGGUUAAAAAGCCGGCACUUCAGUCUCCUGCAAAGGGUGAAACACAGGACGAGAAGAAUCUGCAGGGAGGUUGGUAGCUUGUGUUUGAAAAUAUCAGAACCCCUAUACAUACAGAUUGUAAAUGUGCUUUGAUAUAUGUGGUGUUUGUAUCAACAGCCCCUCUCUAGUAUGCUGAGUGUACUACACUGAAUUUUCAAGUUUUCUCUCAAGGGCCAAAUGGCCUGAAGACAGAUUCUGUACCCAUCCCUGGGACCAAGUAUAGGUGAUGCAGCUCUGUGUAUUAUGUCUGAAUGCAAAGUAAACCAAGAGCCAACUGUUUCCAUGGAAAGCAGGCUAAAACAUUGGCAAAAAGCACGAGUAGCAUUUUAUGACAGUCUCAUUAAAGAGAGCCCUAAAUAACAAAGGGAUGAAUUCUGAAUCUUUUUUUUGUGACUUCUUGAGUAUAGCACAUUCCAAAUCUUAUCUGAACUGUUUCUUUUGAUGAUUAAAAGUAAGAAUAACAGUGAUAAUAACUGAGAGCCCUUUUAUCCAAUUUCACUAUGAAAUUGAAGACAUAAUAUAUUUAGUUUGGUGAUAAAGACAAACAUGAACUUGGCUUACCUUAAAAAAUGUAAAAAUCUUAUUCCCAUUGAUGUGUAAUAUAAAAUUUUUUGUUCUUUUUAGAGUUAAAUCAAAUUAUAGGUAAAAGUGUCAAUGCAUUGUCUAUUGUUCACAUCAGUGUUUAUUAACGCUC